rnacentral:rRNA from 1 species
UAGGGAAUAUUGGUCAAUGGACGCAAGUCUGAACCAGCCAUGCCGCGUGAAGGAUGAAGGUCCUCUGGAUUGUAAACUUCUUUUAUCUGGGACGAAAACGGGAUUUUUAUCUCAAUUGACGGUACCAGAGGAAUAAGCACCGGCUAACUCCGUGCCAGCAGCCGCGGUAAUACGGAGGGUGCGAGCGUUAUCCGGAUUUACUGGGUUUAAAGGGUGCGUAGGUGGGCUUAUAAGUCAGUGGUGAAAUCUCCGAGCUUAACUUGGAAACUGCCGUUGAUACUAUAGGUCUUGAAUUAUCUGGAGGUAAGCCGAAUAUGUCAUGUAGCGGUGAAAUGCUUAGAUAUGACAUAGAACACCAAUUGCGAAGGCAGCUUACUACAUAUAAAUUGACGCUGAGGCACGAAAGCGUGGGGAUC